GACGAACGCUGGCGGCGUGCUUAACACAUGCAAGUCUAACGGAAAGGCCCUGCUUUUGUGGGGUGCUCGAGUGGCGAACGGGUGAGUAACACGUGCGUAUCCUGCCCUUUAUUUAGGGAUAACUUCAGGAAACUGGUGCUAAUACCGGAUAGGAGCUCCUGCUGCAUGGUGGGUGUUGGAAAGUUUCGGCGGUUGGGGAUGGACUCGCGGCUUAUCAGCUUGUUGGUGGGGUAGUGGCUUACCAAGGCUUUGACGGGUAGCCGGCCUGAGAGGGUGACCGGCCACAUUGGGACUGAGAUACGGCCCAGACUCCUACGGGAGGCAGCAGUGGGGAAUAUUACACAAUGGGCGGAAGCCUGAUGCAGCAACGCCGCGUGCGGGAUGACGGCCUUCGGGUUGUAAACCGCUUUCGCCUGUGACGAAGCGUGAGUGACGGUAAUGGGUAAAGAAGCACCGGCUAACUACGUG
rnacentral:rRNA from 1 species